UCCGUAGGUGAACCUGCGGAAGGAUCAUUAUGAAUGAUUUAGAGUCGGUGUCGCUGGCUGUCUUUGCAGCAUGUGCACGCUUCUCUUUUCAUCCACACACCCCUGUGCACUUGUGAGACUGGAGGCCGUAAAAAAAGUCUUCAGUCUGCUAAAUUCAUAUACAAACUCAUUUAAUUGAACUGAAUGUAACUUGAUGUAACGCAUCAUUGAACUAAGUUUCAACAACGGAUCUCUUGGCUCUCGCAUCGAUGAAGAACGCAGCGAAAUGCGAUAAGUAAUGUGAAUUGCAGAAUUCAGUGAAUCAUCGAAUCUUUGAACGCACCUUGCGCUCCUUGGUAUUCCUUGGAGCAUGCCUGUUUGAGUAUCAUGAAAUUCUCAAAGUAAACCUUUUGUUAAUUCAACUGGUCUUGCUUUGGACUUGGAGGUCUUUGCAGAUGUCACAGUUUGCUCCUCUUAAAUAAAUUAGCUGGAUCUCAGUAUACACUUGGUUCCACUCGGCGUGAUAAGUAUCACUCGCUGAGGACACUGUAAAAAGGUGGCCAGGCAAUACAGAUGAACCGCUUCUAAUAGUCCAUUGACUUGGACAAUUAAAUUUAUGACCUGAUCUCAAAUCAGGUAGGACUACCCGCUGAACUUAAGCAUAUCAAUAAGCGGAGGA
rnacentral:rRNA from 1 species